rnacentral:rRNA from 1 species
UACGUAGGGGCCAAGCGUUGUCCGGAUUUAUUGGGCGUAAAGAGCUCGUAGGUGGUUCGGCAAGUCAGUUGUGAAAUCUCCGCGCUCAACGCGGAGGGGUCAGCUGAAACUGCUGUGACUUGAGUCUGGUAGGGGAGUGUGGAAUUCCCGGUGUAGCGGUGAAAUGCGCAGAUAUCGGGAGGAACACCAGUGGCGAAGGCGGCCUACUGGGCUGCACCUGACGCUGAGCCGCGAAAGCCAGGGGAGCGAACGGG